rnacentral:rRNA from 1 species
ACUCCUACGGGAGGCAGCAGUGGGGAAUAUUGCACAAUGGGCGCAAGCCUGAUGCAGCAACGCCGUGUGAGUGAAGAAGGUUUUCGGAUCGUAAAACUCUGUCCGUAAGGGAAGAAACAAAUGACGGUACCUUAGGAGGAAGCCCCGGCUAACUACGUGCCAGCAGCCGCGGUAAUACGUAGGGGCAAGCGUUAUCCGGAAUCACGUGGGCGUAAAGGGUGCGUAGGCGGCUUAGCAAGCCAGGGGUGAAAGGCAUUGGCUCAACCAAUGUAAGCCUUUGGAACUGUUAAGCUUGAGUGCAGGAGAGGUAAGUGGAAUUCCUAGUGUAGAGGUGAAAUUCGUAGAUAUUAGGAGGAACACCAGUGGCGAAGGCGACUUACUGGACUGUAACUGACGCUGAUGCACGAAAGCGUGGGUAGCGAACAGGAUUAGAUACCCUGGUAGACUGUCA